ACAAAAUAGAGCUCUUUUACGGUGCACAAUACUACCAGGUGGUAGUAUAGAGUAUAGACUAUUUUUUAGUAUGGGUAAAAUUGUAAUUAGCACGACAUAUAUUAUUUGGGGAUUUUUUUCCCGGAUGCCAUUUUCCCGCACAUCUCACAGGGCACGCCGCACCGCCACCGCCCGCACGACACGCCGCCCCCGCCCGCACGCCGUGCUGCCCGUCGCGCCGCGCCGCCGCCCCGCCCAUAUGCAAGCACCUCUGCUCAUGGCAGCAGUUCUUCAUCAAACCUCUCCUUUACUGCUGUGACAGACAAGAAGAAGGUGUAUGAGGAUCAAUUGAGAGGGAUCAUCUGCUACAGAGAUGAGAACGGGGAGAUGAUCUGCGAAGGGUAUGACGAAGGCCCCAGGCUCGGAAUCCGGUUGCCGGAGCAGGCCUGCUUCCCAUGACCUGUGGGAAUUCAGGUCACUGAUUUCAUCCAGCUGGCGACGCUUCAGGUUUUUGAGGAUGUCGAUGUUGUUCAGCUCAAGGAUGAUCAGAAGAGGAAGCUCUGAGCAUGGAACUAAUAUAGGCAUAAUUGUGUCUAAUGAUGUUAUAAAAGAAUAACUGCAUGUAUGCAAGGUGUUGCACUUAGUUACUGAUAGUAGCUCGUCAGAUUAUGUUCAGAGUUUUGGGUUUUAUAUAAAAAGAAGUAGAAAUGAUAUUGUUCUCAGCAAUGUACUGCUGAAAGCAUACUUAAUUGUUUGUACAUAACCACUUUCUGCAAGUAUGAGAACGUUUAUAGCAUUACUUGAAAGAAUGAUGUUUGAUGUUGGUUGAUGGCCAGAAUAUUUCUGUGCUUUGUUAAUGCCAGACCCUCAUGGGGCCAUGUGAGUCUGAAGCUGGAGGUUCGUGGAUGUCGCCAUCGUUGGAGACAUCGGCGGGCCAUCUCAUUGUCCCUUCAUACAUUGUCAGCAUCAAUUAUCAGUCUCAAGUGAAAGCCUUUUUGACUUUACUGAAGACUAGACUUUCUAUACUUGCAGGAAUUCCAUCGUUUAGUCAUUAGAAUUUGGAAAAUUAUGUGGGAAUCCAUUCCAGACAGUUCAGCAGUCUGGUUCAGAAAGUUUUCACGAGUUCCAGACAUGGCCAUGGCCUUCCUGAAUGGAAGAUGCAAAACCACAUGUUCAUUCCUAUCCUAUGGGAAUCAUAAGCUGCAAACUGAACAGGGCAUGAAAACUUUACAGUUGAAUUCCCAAUGAGAGUGAUGCUCUCCAAACAGAAGAAAACAUUCCAGCUCUGAACAGGAAUCCAUUCCAAUUCCACUAGACAAAAAACACAAGGAAAACUUACUAAAGACUGAUGGAUACGCAUAGCGCACACAGUAACUUUGUGACUACCGCUGCGUUCUUGAGAUUUUGCAGAGCAAGGUUAAUCAGAUGUCGUCGUCGUAGGGGAAGGAGGUGGCGCCUAGCCACUCGUCGCCGUAGGAUCUGUCAGACUUGCAUCACCACUCACCAGAGACAGCAGAGUUCGUCAACCUGUCA